CCGAUCUCUAAACAUGAAAUGUCCAAAUAUUCAAGUCUCUUAUACACACACAGUUCUUUUAACAGUUCCACAUUGUCGCCGUCCAUCGACGCCAUGUUGUCUCCAUAUGCCGUCGUCUAUCCCCUCCGUCGGUCGGCCGUCCGGACGGGACGAGUAGCCUUCCCGUUCUUCUCUUACAUAUUAUCUUCUUUUGUCCCUUCUCUACGAAAACUCAACUUCUUCUCUCCUUCUCUUUCUCUGACUCUUCUCUUCUUCUCAUGAUUAAAAUCUUUGUUUUUCUUAUAUCCUUAACGAGGAAGUUUCUCACAGUAAUUUGACAAGGAA
rnacentral:lncRNA from 1 species